AACGAACGCUGGCGGCAUGCCUAACACAUGCAAGUCGAACGAAGUCUUCGGACUUAGUGGCGCACGGGUGCGUAACGCGUGGGAAUCUGCCCUUGGGUACGGAAUAACUCAGAGAAAUUUGUGCUAAUACCGUAUAAUGUCUUCGGACCAAAGAUUUAUCGCCCAAGGAUGAGCCCGCGUAAGAUUAGCUAGUUGGUGGGGUAAAAGCCUACCAAGGCGACGAUCUUUAGCUGGUCUGAGAGGAUGAUCAGCCACACUGGGACUGAGACACGGCCCAGACUCCUACGGGAGGCAGCAGUGGGGAAUAUUGGACAAUGGGCGAAAGCCUGAUCCAGCAAUGCCGCGUGAGUUAUGAAGGCCCUAGGGUUGUAAAGCUCUUUUACCAGGGAUGAUAAUGACAGUACCUGGAGAAUAAGCUCCGGCUAACUCCGUG
rnacentral:rRNA from 1 species